AACGAACGCUGGCGGCAUGCCUAACACAUGCAAGUCGAACGAUUGCUUUCGGGUGAUAGUGGCGCACGGGUGCGUACCGCGUGGGAAUCUGCCCUUAGGUUCGGAAUAACAGCUGGUAACGGCUGCUAAUACCGGCUGAUAUCGCGAGAUCAAAGAUUUAUCGCCUGAGGAUGCGCCCGCGUUGGAUUUGGUAGUUGGGGCGGGAACGGCAUACCAAGCCGACGAUCGAAAGCUGGUCAGAGAGGAUGAUCCGCCACACUGGUGCGGAGACACGGCCGGGACUCCUACGCGAGGGAGGAGAGGGGAAUAGUGGAAAAUGGGCGCAAGGAUGAAGCAGCAAGGACGGGUGAGUGAUGAAGGCCGGAGGGUUGUAAAGCUCGUUUACCCGGGAAGAUAAUGACGGUACCGGGAGAAUAAGCCCCGGCUAACUCCGUG
rnacentral:rRNA from 1 species